rnacentral:rRNA from 1 species
GACGAACGCUGGCGGCGUGCUUAACACAUGCAAGUCGAACGGGGUUCCUUGGAUAGAGGCUUCGGCCAAUUGAAUUGGAACCUAGUGGCGGACUGGUGAGUAACGCGUGAGGAACCCGCCUUUCAGAGGGGGACAACAGUUGGAAACGACUGCUAAUACCGCAUGACACAUAGAAACUGCAUGGUUUUUAUGUCAAAGAUUUUAUCGCUGAAAGAUGGCCUCGCGUCUGAUUAGCUAGUUGGUGGGGUAACGGCCCACCAAGGCGACGAUCAGUAGCCGGACUGAGAGGUUGACCGGCCACAUUGGGACUGAGAUACGGCCCAGACUCCUACGGGAGGCAGCAGUGGGGAAUAUUGGGCAAUGGACGCAAGUCUGACCCAGCAACGCCGCGUGAAGGAAGAAGGCUUUCGGGUUGUAAACUUCUUUUAAGGGGGAAGAGUAGAAGACGGUACCCCUUGAAUAAGCCACGGCUAACUACGUGCCAGCCGCCGCUGUAACAC